rnacentral:rRNA from 1 species
UAGGUAGGUGGUCUCGUUUGUCUGGGGUGAAAGCCUUGAGCUUAACUCAAGAAGUGCCUUAGAAACGGCGAGACUAGAGUCUUGGAGAGGGUCGUGGAAUUCCCGGUGUAGCGGUGAAAUGCGUAGAGAUCGGGAGGAACACCAGAGGCGAAGGCGGCGACCUGGACAAGUACUGACACUCAACUACGAAAGCGUGGGGAGCAAACAGGAUUAGAUACCCUGGUAGUCCACGCUGUAAACGAUGGGUACUAGGUUUGGUGGGUCUUGACCCCCGCCGAACCGGCGCUAACGCAAUAAGUACCCCGCCUGGGAAGUACGGUCGCAAGACUAAA